AUAUGACUUGUAAAUGAUUUCCUGUGCUUGAAACAAAAUAUCUGUAGUAGAGAUUAUUUGUUUGUUUUAAUGGAACUUAAAAAUGCAUACAGAAAGGGGGGGAAAAGGAAGAAAUAAUAUAUCAGAUUAUGCUAUUUCUGUUAGCUUUUGUGGAACUGGGAAUUGAAACGAGGGAUACUCUACCCCUGAGCUACAUUUCCAGCAAUGUACCCCCACCUAUUUCUGAGACAGGGUUUCCAAAUAGCUGAGGCUAUCUUUAAACUUUCGAUCCUCCUGCCUCUGCUUUCCUAGUAGCUAAGAUUACAGGAGUUCUGUGCUGUUUCUUUUAAAGGUUUAAAAUGGCUUAAUGGAACUGUGUGUGUGUGUGUAUGUGUGUGUGUGUGUGUAAUUCUGUAGUUUAAAAUGUUUUCUAAUUUUCAUUAUUAUUUCUUCUUUGACUCAUGUGAAAUUCAGAAGUUUAUUUCUUAAUUUUAAAAUAUAUUUUCUAGUUAUCUUUUUAUUAUUAAUUCCAGCCUAAAUUGUGUUUGGAUAUCAUAUACUGUAUUUCUUUU
rnacentral:lncRNA from 1 species